rnacentral:rRNA from 1 species
CCUACGGGAGGCAGCAGUGGGGAAUAUUGCACAAUGGGCGCAAGCCUGAUGCAGCCAUGCCGCGUGUAUGAAGAAGGCCUUCGGGUUGUAAAGUACUUUCAGCGGGGAGGAAGGCGAUACGGUUAAUAACCGUGUCGAUUGACGUUACCCGCAGAAGAAGCACCGGCUAACUCCGUGCCAGCAGCCGCGGUAAU